rnacentral:rRNA from 1 species
AUGGCCAUCCCCAAAGCUUUGCUUCUUGCCAUCGUAGGCUGCAUCUGCUUAUGCAGCAGUGCUGUUUUGUCAGCUCGCGAGCUUGGUGACACGGCUAUGGUGGAGAGGCAUGAGCAGUGGAUGGCGAAGUUCAACCGUGUUUACAAGGACGGCACCGAGAAGGCGCAGCGGUUUGAGGUGUUCAAAGCCAACGUUGCCUUCAUCGAGUCGUUCAACGCCGAAAACCGUAAGUUCUGGCUCGGUGUCAACCAGUUCACCGACCUCACCAAUGACGAGUUCAGGGCAACCAAGACCAACAAGGGAUUGAAAAUGAGCGGCGGUAGGGCUCCAACUGGGUUCAAGUACAGUAAUGUCAGCAUCGACGCGCUUCCAACCGCUGUUGAUUGGAGGACCAAGGGUGUUGUCACUCCUAUCAAAGACCAAGGCCAAUGUGGUAAGUGGAUUUAG